GGGUGUUUGUGCCGGUAGAUCGACUCGGGUUGUCGAUCUCAUAAUUCCUCGGUCGCGGGUUCGAGUCCCGCCCGCCCCACCA
rnacentral:tRNA from 1 species